GCCUUUAUAGCUUAAACAAAAGCAUUCGUCUUGUAAGCGAACGAUGAGAUACCCCCCUCUUAAGGCA
rnacentral:tRNA from 1 species